rnacentral:tRNA from 1 species
GCGCAGGUGGCGGAACUGGUAUACGCGCUAGCUUGAGGGGCUAGUGCCUGCAAAGGCUUGGAGGUUCAAAUCCUCUCCUGCGCACCA